rnacentral:rRNA from 1 species
GUUGUAUGGUUAAGUGACUAAGCGUACACGGUGGAUGCCUUGGCAGUCAGAGGCGAUGAAGGACGUAUUAACUUGCGAUAAGCCCAGAUUAGGUAGUAAAAACCAUUUGAGUCUGGGAUUUCCGAAUGGGGAAACCCA